AAUACCCAUUUUUUUUAAGAGAUGAAUAAAAAAGCUGAAAAUGUUUGAUCUCUCUCUCUCGAUUCCUCAUUUUUUCCUAUAGAAUUUUACUGGGAAGCUGAGGAAUUCACUCUGAACCGUUUCAAUUAACCCUAAUUUCUACUGGCGAACAUGUGCCGCGGACUAGAUGCGUUACAUUGUUGAGAUGGACAGUUUCUUUGAAGUUUUGGUCGUAGCUUACCUGAAAGCAACCCCAUUGAGAAAGGGCUGAUCGGAGCUUUGCGCGUUCCGGUGUCGAGGAAGAGAGGAGUGAAAAAUCAAUAAGCAGAUUGUCCCUCCACAAAUCAGGGGCGUCAAUGGCUUCAGGGAAACCAUCUUUCUGGAGAUUGUUUAACAACUUCAUUGAGAGAGAGCAGAUCGUAUUUUUCAAGCUCCGGAGUUGAGGAAGAAGAGAAGAGAUAUUUCAGUAGGCAUAUUAUGUGGAGGGACAUUACUGGCUUCAGGGAAGUCAUCUUUGUAGAGGUUAAAAUCUUGAUGUAUUAAUUCGUAGAAAGAAAGGGGGAUUACCUGAAAGCAACCCCAUUGGGAAAGAGCUGAUCGGAGCUUUGCGAGUUCAGUUGCUGAAUAAGAAGAGAGGAGGGAAAAAUCAAUGAGCAACUUACCUCUCCACAAAUCAGGGGCAUCAAUGGCUUCAGGGAAACCAUCUUUGCGGAGGUGAAACAAAUAAAAAUGAUGACGAAAACCCAAGCUGUGCGUUAGGCGGAUGAUUUUAUUAGACCACAAAAUAUUUACAAAGUGGACAAGAUUUUGUCACUCAAAAGACUCAAACAAUAAUUAUUUUAGGAUAUGUCACUAGCACACCAAAAGAUUAUGAUGAUUUCACUUUUUAGGUAAUAACUAACGGGGUUUUUAAGAGCGCGGUGCACAUGGUGAAUUCGUGCUAGGGUCAGAAUAUCCGUGGUGAUGAAAUGAGUAUAGAGAGAAACUCUACAGGAAAUGAGUGUAGAGAGAAACUCUAUGAAAGUUUUAGGCAAGGGUUAAGAGUUUCUUAUUUUGUGUUUUCCAUCAUAAAAGAUACCAAUAUGACUUCAUUGCCGUACCAUUAACUCUUCAUAAGUUCUAUAAUUCUAUGUGGAAUACAAACAAGGAACAAAAGAAAAAAAAUGUAGCGGGAGUCCAUAUUGGUUAUUGGACAUUGUUGUUACAAACGUCUCUCGGCGAUGAAGUUUUGAUAUUUUGUUAGUGAAAAUUAUGAAAACGCGAUCCUAAUUUAUUUUUAUAAAGAUUAAUAACAUGCUUGUUUUAUUAUUAUUAUUGUUGUUUUAUUUUUUUAUCAAUGUGCAUUUUCACCAAAUUAAAGUACUUCAUUGUUGAUAUUUAUUGUGGAGAAAUUACUGUUUCUUUAGUCUAGCCUUCAUGUCUUUGCUAUCUAUGUUUGAACUCUUAAAAUUUCAUUGCAUAGAGUUUGAUCACUUGAUCGUGUUUGUUAUUUGUUUUACUCACAUUCAAUAAUCAUAACAUGAAAUUGAUUAUCUUUCAUUUUAAAAAAACAGAAGAUCUACAUUGAAGAUUUAGAUAUCAGAUUGUAUUGUUUGAUGGGAUUCUGUGACACGACAUCUUGGCCUUUAACUUGUAGAUAAGAUAUUGUGUUGUUCACCUGCUCAGUUUCUUUGUCUGGCUAACUAACACAUUAUUGCUUAUCAGUUAUCAGUCAAGAAUAUUGAUGCCAUAGUUUCUUGAUAUGUGUAGAUGAUGUUAAGAAACACGUAUUUUUCUUUAGUGGAGAUAAUAUGACAAACUUUGUCACUAGGAAGCUUUAUUUCACUUCAGGUGCCCACGUUAUUUCUCUAGGAAUGCUUGACAUGGGUAUAAACACAUGACACUUCAGUUUGAACCAAGAACAUGGGAAUUUUUCAUUAAAUAUGCUAGUUUCACAUUUGGAUCCCAUACCCAGUCUGAUGUCAAUACCGAAUGUGAGUAACAUAGAGUACAAAUAUACUAUUCUAAUUAAACUCAAAAGAACAUUUGUUUAGAGUGCAACUAUCUCGUAAUAUAAGCAAGUUUCUCUUAUGAAAGAGUAGAUACUAAACUUGGAUUGCAGAAACAGUUUUGGACCCUAGGCUAUAGCCCUCGAAUAUUUUUGCCAAAAAUCAUUCAUGUUAAACUUCUUGUAAAACUGAGGCUGAUGGGCAGCAACCAGUUCGCUUAGGGGUCCAACUUCCUCAUCACCUGGGAAGAAAAACAAAGCAGAAUUCGUGCCCACCCGUGUGCAACAUGCUCUUAAACAAUCCGUUAGUUAUUACCUGCAAAGUGAAAUAAUCACAACCUUUUGAUUUUGAUAGAGAUAGAAAUCUCUUAGGAUAUUUGCCUUAGAAUAUUUGAUGUAUAUUAGACAUUAUAUUAGUGUCCCUAAUUCAAUCAAGACUAUUGUUGUAAUCCCUAUAUAUUUGAUCAAUGGAAUACACUCCAAUUCAAGGAGUUUACUACAAUCUAGCAUGGUAUCACAACUAAGGUUGUAGACCACAUUUCCACAAAAAUAUAGUUCUUUUUUUUUCCUAGGCCUUGUACGCCUCCGCCUAUUGCUCGUGAUCUUCCCCUUCGCAACAGCCUGCGUGCCAUCAACCUCGUCCCCUCCGGCAAUCUACUCGGCUCCCGCCUACCGCCAGUAUCACUACCGUGCGCCAUGACUAACUACGAGAUCCCAAAAGAAGAUCCACCUACUCCUCCACCACCGAGCUCCACCGACUUUCACCCUGCCCUUGGAGUUAAUAAUAUCAAGAACGCAAUCCCGUUAAUUCUUGAUCGUAAGGAAGUAGAGUGCAAGCAAUAUUGAUGAUUUAAACAUAAAACCCACUGAUUUCGUCGUCCGAUGGAUUCUCUUUCUAAUCGUGGUUGAGACUUGAGAGCAUACCUGAAUGCAACCCCAGUUGGAGAGGAGCGCUGAUCGAGGCUGGAGUUUGCGAGUUCAGCUCCAGAAGCUACUGUCUUGGGAGAAAGAAGGGAAGGGUCAAUCAUCUAACUAUCCCUUUACAAGUCCAAAAGGGCACAAAUAAAGAUUUAAGCCAUCUCUUUGUGCAGUCGGAGAAAGAGAUAGAGCGAGAGAACGAAAGCAUAUCAUACUUGAAAGCAACCCCAUUGGGAGAGAGCUGACCGGAGCUUUGCGAGUUCUGGUGCUGCUGAGGAAGAAGUGAGAAGAGAGCAAUCAAUGAGAAGAUCAUGUUUCCACAAAUCAGGGGCUUCAAUGGCUUCAGGGAAACAAUCUUUGGAGAGGUAUUUCUCUGGUAUUUCAUCACCCUUUUUAGCAAUCUCUUGAGCCAGCUUUGAUGCUAAUAAUUCUUGUUUGCUUAAUGGAGGAUCUUCUGCCAUUUUUGCAGUUAAGUAGAUAUUAAUGGCUAUAGCCCACACUCGCAUGCUAUCAUCAUAUAUAGGAGUAUUAUCAGUCUUUAUGAUUGGGGAGCUUCUUUCUGUGUCAUGUUCAAGCAUUAUUAUUAUUGUGGGAUUUUUUUAAAAUUAAAUACAUUUAGUGGCCUAUUAUAAUAAUUAUUUAUAAUUAUAAUGUUAGAGCAGGUAAAGCAUGUCAUGUAAUGGAUGGAUUUUAUGUUUUAUUUAUUUUACGUAUUAUUGUUUAA